rnacentral:rRNA from 1 species
UACGUAGGGUGCGAGCGUUAAUCGGAAUUACUGGGCGUAAAGCGUGCGCAGGCGGUCGUGUAAGACAGAUGUGAAAUCCCCGGGCUCAACCUGGGAACUGCAUUUGUGACUGCACGGCUGGAGUGCGGCAGAGGGGGAUGGAAUUCCGCGUGUAGCAGUGAAAUGCGUAGAUAUCAGGAGGAAUACCGAUGGCGAAGGCAGGUCUCUGGGCUGACACUGACGCUCAUGCACGAAAGCGUGAGGAGCAAACAGG